rnacentral:snRNA from 1 species
GUCCUCACAUGCGGGGAGACUCCCUGACUGCGAAGGUGGCUUUCCCAGGGACGCUUACCCUUGGCACUCAGAGUGUGCUGACUUUGAAGAUUUCCCCAACUCUGGGAAACUUGACACCAUAAUCUGUGGUCAGCAGGAAUGACAUUUGUUCUUUU